ensembl:lncRNA
CUCGUGUUUGGAGCUUAAGUUCAGUUUAAUCAGGCGACCACAAUGCGUGCUACAUAAUUUUAGCUAGCUUUCAAACUUGACUCCUGGAAGCUUGUGAACGUAUGACGCUACACAAUAAGAAUAAUGACAUAAUUCUAGCUCGUAAUGUCUGCUAACAGAUGUUAACUCGUUUUAGCUAAGCUGGUUUGGUUAGCUAGUUUACUGGUAUACCAGUGGUUGUGGUAUUCAACCUGCUAUGUUAUGCUAGUCAGUGUCCUUUUGAGGUUUGUGAUUGGCUGAUUGGAUUUAAACUAAACAUAAGUGCUGAUCUUGUUGACCCAGGGAUCAUUCAACCAAAUCAGGAGUUGUGUGUGUGUGUGUGUGUGUGUGUGUGUGUGUGUGUGUGGUCAAAGGCUUUUAGUAGAACAUCAUAUAUCGAACCUCGAGAGAGCUUUCAGUACUUUUGCGUCUUCUGUCUUGCUAUAUUCCCUUUUACUCCCCCUUUCUACGCUCUUAAUUAAUUUCUCCUGUGCCUUCAUUUCUUGUUUUCCAUCCCGUCUCCUCUUCAUCCCAUUCUUCUAGGACGCUUUUAGAUUUGCAUAACCUCUUAGCUGGUCCCUGCGUGCUGAUGGACCGGAGCUCAUGUUUAUUAAAUGUUUGCUGAUGAUAGCAGACAUGUCUUUCUCUCUCUCUCUCUCUCUCUCUCUCUCUCUCUCUCUCACACACACACACACAUACACGCACUCGCAAUCUCUCCUUUUCCAUUACUUUCUCUACCGUGAUAUUAGGGGCUGUGUCUGUGUGCCAUCAUUCUUUCACGCUGCUGUGCUGUGCUGAAUGCAGCUCCCGGUCCCUGUUGCUCUGAGGGUCCCGCUCUGAAUGGAAAUGAGGGGACUCUAUAAUGAGUUCCACUCAUCCCGGGUUCCUGACCCUGCUGGCAACUGCGCGUUAAGAAGGGAUAGAAAGGAAAAAGAAAAGGACAGGGGAAGGCAAGAGGCUACAAGGCCAGGGUAAAAAAAAAAAAUCGUGUUUUUUUUCCCCUCCUCCCGCGUUUUACCUUCUAUCUCGGGAAGACGGGAUUGCUGAGUAGCUUCCAUGUUCCAUGAUCGUUCUGUUGCUGUAGACCUUCGCUCGAUUCUCCGACAUUCAUUACAGCCACCACAUAUCAAAUCCAGUAGUAUGCCGGUUCAGCUUUGUCUUUCAAACUUGCUUUACUAUAUUGAGGUCAUAUUGGACGAAAAUUCCUUCAGGAACCUCCGAGGAACCCUCCUGAAGAAGAACUCCACAAUUGCCGGACGAGUGAGUUCCUGUUCCGCAUUUCCACCACGGAUCGUGACCACCGUAUAUGCAAAAAUAGCAAGUGAUCCGAAAUGUGAGAUGGUUACAACAAAGUGAACAUGAAAGACUCGCUUGCUUUUGUCCAAUCAGCAACGUUCAGAGCAGAAAGCUCCACCCCUAUAGUUCCUGUUCUGUACAAAAGUACUGACUUGAAAGCAAGAAGUAAAAAUAUUCCAGGAACUACAACGCAAGAGGAAAAUUGCUGACCCAGGAACAGGAAGUAAAACUGGUCUAGGAACUACAGUACAACCCAGGAAUACUGACCCAGGAGCAGGAAGUAAAACUGGUCUAGGAACUACAGUACAACCAGGAAGUACUGACCCAGGAGCAGGAAGUAAAACUGAUCUAGGAACUACAGUACAACCCAGGAAGUACUGACCCAGGAGCAGGAAGUAAAACUGGUCUAGGAACUACAGUACAACCAGGAAGUACUGACCCAGGAGCAAGAAGUAAAACUGAUCUAGGAACUACAGUACAACCCAGGAAGUACUGACCCAGGAGCAGGAAGUAAAACUGAUCUAGGAACUACAGUACAACCCAGGAAGUACUAACCCAGGAGCAGGAAGUAAAACUGAUCGAGGAACUACAGUACAACCCAGGAAUACUGACCCAGGAGCAGGAAGUAAAACUGAUCGAGGAACUACAGUACAACCCAGGAAGUACUGACCCAGGAGCAGGAAGUAAAACUGGUCUAGGAACUACAGUACAACCCAGGAAGUACUGACCCAGGAGCAGGAAGUAAAACUGAUCAAGGAACUAAAGUACAACCCAGGAAGUACUAACCCAGGAGCAGGAAGUAAAACUGGUCUAGGAACUACAGUACAACCAGGAAGUACUGACCCAGGAGCAGGAAGUAAAACUGAUCUAGGAACUACAGUACAACCCAGGAAGUACUAACCCAGGAGCAGGAAGUAAAACUGGUCUAGGAACUACAGUACAACCCAGGAAGUACUAACCCAGGAGCAGGAAGUAAAACUGAUCGAGGAACUACAGUACAACCCAGGAAGUACUGACCCAGGAGCAGGAAGUAAAACUGAUCUAGGAACUAUAGUACAACCCAGGAAGUACUGACCCAGGAGCAGGAAGUAAAACUGAUCUAGGAACUAUAGUACAACCCAGGAAGUACUGACCCAGGAGCAGGAAGUAAAACUGAUCUAGGAACUAUAGUACAACCCAGGAAGUACUGACCCAGGAGCAGGAAGUAAAACUGAUCGAGGAACUACAGUACAACCAGGAAGUACUGACCCAGGAGCAGGAAGUAAAACUGAUCUAGGAACUACAGUACAACCAGGAAGUACUGACCCAGGAGCAGGAAGUAAAACUGAUCUAGGAACUACAGUACAACCAGGAAGUACUGACCCAGGAGCAGGAAGUAAAACUGAUCUAGGAACUACAGUACAACCCAGGAAGUACUGACCCAGGAGCAGGAAGUAAAACUGGUCUAGGAACUACAGUACAACCCAGGAAGGAAAGUCCAGACGUAAGAGCAGGAAGUAGAAAGGUUCCAGGAAAUACAACCCAAGACGAAAACGACGUCCUGUAUUGAAUAAACAUUAAUCAAAUUUUCCAUUUGACACAAUAGGAGGAGUUCUUUCUUAUGAGUUCUCAUUAGAACCAUUUUUUAAAUAAUUGUAUUUUCUCUCAGCGUACUGUAGGCAGCACCGAUAAAGCGCAACAUUUGUGUGAUCUGUUUGUUUUUUACAACAGAGGCGAGUCGAAAAAACGUGGGAGUGUUUGUGUAUACGUGCCAUUAAUAUCAAACGGCAAAACCUGGCUCGAAGAAGAAGAAAGCUCAAUGUUCCUCACAUACACCCCUGGACUUGAACCAGUUCCUGCCCCUUUUCCCUUUUCACCCCACAUUCCACCUUUCCAACAGAGGCGCCAGUUUGUGUGUGAGUGUGUGAGUAUGAGAGUGUGUGUGUCCAUAAAAUACCUCUCCGGGGCAUAAAGCCGAGGAAUGUGGCCAAUGGA